rnacentral:tRNA from 1 species
GGUAGGGUGGCCGAGAGUUAGGCGGUGGGUUGUAGCCCCAUAAACAGAGAUUAAAAUUCUCUUCCUAUCA